CAAAAUGUGGCCUUACCAGUUACAAAGACAUGACUAUCAAAAGCAAGCAGGUCUUUCCAGCCAUCUGCUCGGCAGGAAGGAGGACGGCUUGAUUAAGAUUGCACAUCCACUUCAGCUGGUGGCUUAAUCAGCCCCAAACCUAAAAGAGCUUUCACAGCUCCUUCUGCUCUUCCCCAAACCCCUCCUGUGGGGUCACCUGGUGAUGGUCUGGCUGGGCUCAGCUUGUGGACUAGGAUAUCACAGGACACAUGGAGUAACCACGAUUCAAUUGGGUUCUGGAGAUGGGUACCAGUCCUGCCAUCAGUCAGAGAUCUGUGCCUUAGGCCCGUCAGUCAAAUUCUUUCUUCUGAGGAGGCAAGAAUUGAGGUUGCUGCAGACCCACACGGAUUCACCGCUGGUAACUCAGAUACCUUCCAACCUUCCACUGGACUGCGCCAGCCCAGACAAGUCCAAGAGGAGGAUUCCAGGCAGUUAAGAUGGUUUCCGGAGAAGCCUGGAAUUUCCCCGUAAGCACAAGCUCGGCAGAAAAAGGCAGGGUCCCUCGGCAGCCAGGGCAGGGGCUGAGUCAGUCCCAAGUCUCCCUGGCAAAUGGAUCACCCCUUAGGGUGGGAAGAGCCCCCCAGCUGUGUGGGGAACCUGGCUAGAGGUUGCUGAACCUCUGCUUUCAAGGAGUCUUGUGACCCCGGGAGCAUAGAACAAUCGCGGAGGCGCUUACAUCCAAAAUCCAUUUUCCUUCAAAAAAGUGUCCAGGUGGAGGUAAAGAAAGAGGACCCUGUAUACUUUGGUAAAUCUGUGAUUUAGCUACAAUGUAACUGGGCCUUGGGAACCCAGGGUGAGGUUUCUUAUGUGACAUCUCCUGGAAAAGCUCCGCUCAAUUCCUGAAAAAUCCCUUAUCAGACACCGACAGGAAACAGGGAUUUCCAGGGAAAUGGAUGUGGAAGGCACCUGAAGGCCAUUCCAAAACUCCAAAGUUUUUAUUUAUUUUACUAACUUAGGUGACUUAGACAUACAACUUCCUGCAAACAGUGCAUUCAGCUUUGUGUUCCUAAGCAAAUAAAUGGAACAGAGGCCACCAAAACUAGGCCCGCUGGAAAGGGCAGAGCAGAUGCCCUUACACCCAUAGCCCCUGGGGGUCAUGCCUGUGAGUUCUUGCAUAUCAGCUUGUGACAGCGUUGUGACCUGCCCCUUUGUCACCUUGCCACCACAUCACCCCCCAGGGGUCUGGGCAUUUCCUCGAAGCUGCUUCCAGGACAGGAUCAGGAACGUGUUACUUGGGUGGGGGGCUGGGAGGGAGGCAAGGAGCUCUGGUUCUGCCCAUGUCCUCCAGCCUCGAGUGUGCAACUGCUCUUCUGGGAACUUGGGUCUCCUCAUCUGAAACACAGGGAAUUAGAGAAGAUGAUUUUGUAACGCUCGAAGGCUCUGUAAUCCCCAAAAACAUGCUCUAAAGGGAUCUCCAGUCCAGCAUAUCAACCCAAACAAAAGACAACGCUGUGGUUACUUGUUCAAAUGCCUCUUUCUUCUUGUAAACAGUGCACUCCCAAUGACAGAGGCCCUCUGCUACUCAUCAUCUAGGUAGCUGACAGGUGGCUGCCUGCGGUACCUGAUGUUUGGACAGACAAACAAAUGACCAGGUGACACCCAAGUGCGAUUCUCUCUGAUCGCCAUCCUGUAGCCUGUCUCCUUAGCUGGGCUCCAAGCUCUUUGGGGAGCGAGGAACAGAUCUGUUCUACAUAGAAUCUCCAAUCAGAGCUGACGGUGGCUCAGGAAGCACCAGGGUGCCCAGGCUAGUUGUUGAAAUAUUGAAGUACUUCUGUGCAGUUGCUGAGCCUGAGAGAGCCUCUCUCCCCUCCCCCGCCACCAAGCCCAACAUCUAUCCGAAGGUUUCCUCUCCACCAUCCAGCCACUGAAGGGUGGUGACUGAUGUAGCAGGGCUGUAGGCCUCUGCUCCAGGACUGUAUAUGCCUGGUGCCAUUCUGAUUGGCCAGCGCCCUUGCCAUACUGUCGUUAAAUGUUGAGUGGUAGACCAGCCCAAUGCAGGUGAUGGGGAGGGAGAGCAGAUGACUGGUAGGUGCCACCUGUCACCUGAGAAUAGAUAUAUGUAGGCCCUGCUUUCCCAAUGGACUGAGAAUGUUCCCAGCAAAGAAGUGGGCAGUGUGUGCUGCCUGACCCCAAGAAGACACAUGCCCAGAUCCCUAGCUGGACAGAACGAGGACCUCCAAGCACACCUGCAGGCAAAGGAAUGGGCUGAGUCUCAGCCCCCCGGACUUACGAGCCAGGCGGCCCCACCUGUCUAAACUUGCGUUUCCUCUUCUGUACACAGGAGACAGUUAAACCUACCUUCCAGUUUGCGUGAGGACUUGUGUCUAACACGGGCUCUGAUCUGUACCCACAGGUAGGGCUUUCCCUCCUGACAAAAUCUUAUUUUGAUAAAUCAGGACUUUAAAAAUGACCAAGUGGUUAAGCAAGUGCAUUCCGUCUGUGCAGAUGCAUCAAGCUGUUCGCUUACCUACACAAUUCUGUAUGUAGAGCAGACGAUGAUCCAAUGCCAAAACAUCAAAUAUAUAUUCUUAGGCAUCAAAAGUAUUAUCAAUAAAAGUUAAGGUGCUAAAAAAGAAUGGCUGAGCAAAAUCUAGAAUUUGAGUCCUAGAGAAAGUUCCUGAGACAGGUCUCUUUCAAUCCUGAGUUUCCUGACAGCAGGGGCUGGGAGCAUAUCAAAACAGUCCUUGCUAGAAUUUUCCUCCUAAAGCUAAGUGUUUAACCGGUGCAUUUUAGCAACAGCAGAGCUGGAAAAAUAUAUCUGGGUAGAAGUAGCAGACAGACAGCGGUCAGCGAGC
rnacentral:lncRNA from 10 species